rnacentral:rRNA from 1 species
GUCCACGCCGUAAACGAUGGGUACUAGGCGUCGGGGGGAGCGACCCCCCUCGGUGCCGUCGCUAACGCAGUAAGUACCCCGCCUGGGGAGUACGGUCGCAAGACUGAAACUCAAAGGAAUUGACGGGGGCCCGCACAAGCGGUGGAGCAUGUGGUUUAAUUCGAAGCAACGCGAAGAACCUUACCUGGGCUUGACAUGUACGGGAAAGCCGGUGGAAACAUCGGCCCCUCUUCGGAGUCAGUGCACAGGUGCUGCAUGGCUGUCGU